GCUGAUGUUGGACUUCAAGUUGUCGGUGGUUAGUAGGAUUUGAAGGAGAAAAAUAAGGGUUUGGAUGUAAUGGGGAUUUGGUAGAACUCUUUGGUGCCCCAAAAUUCUCUCUGUAGAAAAAAAUAUUAUUGUUCUUCUCCUCUCUUUGCCGAAUUUUUCCUUUUCCUUUUUCAUUCUCCUCUUUGUCGUUUCUUUUUCUCCUCAUCGCUGCCAUAUUUUAUUUUUGAUCUUCUCUUCAGUCCGUCUCUUUCUUGUGCAACAUUGGUUUACGUUUUGAUUCGGUAAGAUGAGUAACAUAGUUUUAUUUUCAUUAUUAGCUUUUUAUUGAUGUGCGCUGUUAAAUGCUGAUUAGGGGAAGAUUUAGGGAUUUGUAAUCACUGUUUGGAGACAUAGGUUCGUUGAAUUCUGGUUACUUGAUAGAAGGUAAGGUUUUUGAAGGUUUUAGGUUGAACAUCUCAUUAUAGUUUCGUUUAAGUUCCAUUAGUAACAUUGAUUUUGGGCAAUAGAAUGUCGAUUUCUAGUUUCUGGAGUGUUCGUGGUUGCAUUAGCAUCGAAUCGAUACCAGGUGUGUACUCAAAAAUACAUAAAAUAGGGUUUCAGCGAAAGCUAAAAACCCCACUGUCGACGCCAUAAGGGCGUGUGGUCGCCCGUGUGGUGGGCCGUGUGCCAUUACACAGGUGUGUGAUCGACGAGGCCAGGUCGUGCGAGCAAGAAACGGCCGUGUGAUAGCCAGGUAGGCCGUGUGCGACACACGGGCUAGACUAAUUUGGGCCGUGUGGGCCCAUACAGGCAUGUGGGAUUUUAGGCCAGGUCGUCUGAUCCACACGGGCAAGCCACAUGGGUGUGUGAGCCCAUUAAUCUAAAAUGAUUCCUAUGAUUGUACGAGUCUACCAAGUCGACUGUGAACCUGUAGUAGGGUCGGUAAGCAUUACCUAGACCCCUAAAUAUAUGAUCUGAGUGUAUGUGAUGCAUGAUAAAUUAUGCAUGAUUACUGAUAUAUAUAUGUAUACGUAUGACUAAUGGUUCCAUAAAAGCAUGACAUAUUGUAUGUUUGCAUUGCAUUGGGCUGGGAUGAUGAUAUUUGGAGGAAGUGUAUUAAAAGGCUUUAAGCCUAUUUAUCUGGUAGCACAGCUGUAAUAUACUGAAUAUGUACCACAUUCAGUACUACUUGGAGUGUAGGGAUGGAUGGGUGUUUUAAACCCCGUAUGGAGUGUAGGGAUAGAUGAAGAUGGUAUGUAGAGACUGGUGGAUAGGACUCUGUUACUGAUUACUGUUUGCAUUACUAAUACUUUGAUGGGCUGAAGCUUUAAUGCAUAUCUGAUAUUGGACUAAAAUGGGCUAAGGCCCAAACUACUACUGUAAUUGAAAUGGGCUUAGGCCCAGAAUGCGUUUGACUGUUUAUUGUGUUUUCUGUGGGGAUUACACAUUGAGUUUACGUAAACUCACCCCUUUUUGUUUUAUCUGUAUAGGUAAUCCCCAGACUUGGGAGGAUUGGUGCGGCGGAGGACUCAAUGGUGACCACAUGACUACUAAACUGUUUAAAUUUCAUUUAAGGUUUUUACUUCCUAUUAUUUUUGGGGUAUUUUUGAUGUAAUGUGGACUGUUGCCUUUAUUUUGGACUUUAACUAUUUACAUGGACUUUUAAACUGCAAACCUUAAUGAAAACUCGGUUUAAGUAGUAAUAACUCUUUUUCUUAACGCGAAUGAGUUUCUUCA
rnacentral:lncRNA from 1 species